UACGUAGGGUGCGAGCGUUGUCCGGAAUUAUUGGGCGUAAAGAGCUCGUAGGCGGUUUGUCGCGUCGGAUGUGAAACCCCGGGGCUUAACUCCGGGCCUGCAUUCGAUACGGGCUGACUAGAGUUCGGCAGGGGAGACUGGAAUUCCUGGUGUAGCGGUGAAAUGCGCAGAUAUCAGGAGGAACACCGGUGGCGAAGGCGGGUCGCUGGGCCGAUACUGACGCUGAGGAGCGAAAGCGUGGGGAGCGAACAGG
rnacentral:rRNA from 1 species